rnacentral:misc_RNA from 1 species
GAUGAAGAACGUAGCGAAGUGCGAUAAGUAAUGUGAAUUGCAGAAUUCCGUGAAUCAUCGAAUCUUUGAACGCAAAUUGCACUCUCUGGCAACCCGGGGAGUAUGCCUGUUUGAGGGUCAGUGUUAAUAAAAAUCGGGUUCGUUGCAAUUUUUGUGACGUUUCCGGAGUUUGAGUUAUCUUAACUUCGGUUUUUAAGAGGCUUAAAAUUGACCUUUUUUUGUGCAUUUUAGACGUACAUAAAUUUUUUUUUAUUCGCCUAUCCUAAUGCCAAAAUCUAUUAGAUGCGACCAUAUCUUGUGGUUCCGUGUCUAUAAAUUUUUCAUGAUUUGACCUCAAAUCAGGUAGGAACACCCGCUGAACUUAAGCAUAUCAAUAAGCGGAGGA